rnacentral:rRNA from 1 species
GACAGAGGAUGCAAGCGUUGUUCGGAAUUACUGGGCGUAAAGCGCGCGUAGGUGGUCUUGUGUGUCUGGUGUGAAAGCCCUUAGCUCAACUAAGGAAGUGCGCUAGAAACUGCAAGACUUGAAUUCGGGAGAGGAUGGUAGAAUUCUCAGUGUAGAGGUGAAAUUCGUAGAUACUGGGAGGAACACCGGUGGCGAAGGCGACCAUCUGGACCGACAUUGACACUAAAGUGCGAAAGCGUGGGUAGCAAACAGG